UCGUCAAGAGAAAUUUUGCGAGAGUGGAAAGUACAAGAUAAACGUUAUUUUUAUGUUUUUUUGUUAAUGCUUACUUCUAGCAUACAAAAUGUACAUUUAUCAGACUGCUUUCUUGUAGUAGCUAUAUAGAAAAACGUAAAUUAGCAUGCUAGCACACAAUUCCCGCCUAGCGCUGUAUUAAGUCUGCCUUCACAAUUUAAAAAAUUAACGGUUGGUGGCUUGUUUCAAUCAAAGAGUUGUCUGACGACUGAAGGAUGGAUUGAAGGAGCAGUAGCAUGCCGAGAGAUCAUCCAGCACUGCACUAAAGACAGUAAAGGCUUCCCACCUGACCUCCUACACGACCUGUUUGAAGGUGUCAUUCCAGUGGAGUUGGCACAUUGUUUAAAAGUGUCUGACUAAAGAAACAGAACUGAGACAUCAGCUGAUUCCACCAAUUUGUGAACCAAUGUAAAGAAAUAAAAAAUUCAGAUGGAGGCAACAGGAAUAUUGAAGCUGAGGGUCAUCCUUGAUAAGGAUAACGCUGAAAAACUUAUUUUGCCAUCUUGUCCAAACAGUGUGCAAGCCCUCAUAGAUGAGAUCAAAUCUAGGCUAAAUUUUACCUUUGACUUUCGGCUUCAGUUUCACGACCCAGAUUUUGAUAAUGCCUUGUGUAAUUUUUUUAAAAUAGAAGACCUGCCAGCUAUAGCAUCUGUUAAAGUUGUCAGGUUAGUUGAGCUGGACCGGAUUUCAACGAGCACUGAUGACACAAUCCUUCAGACUGAGAGAGGUGAGGUCAACUUCCUUCCUUCUUAUCCUUCUGGAGAAACAAGGGAGUCUCUGAAAACCAGAAGACUUGAGAUGGUAGAGGAGUUCAAGAAGACCUCAGCAGAAAGAGACAUCCCUCUCAUUCAUCAGCAUAUGAUGCGCACUUUUGCACUCCGGCGUGAAGAGAUUGUCACAACUUCUCCUCCUGUAUCAGAGCUCAAGGACAGAUGGCCAGCACUCUUUCAUGACACACAGCUCUACUUUGAAUUUCAUCGAAUCACCAAUCAGAAUCUGCCACGUGUUUUAUGCUGCACUGGAUGAUUAUGCUCCUCAGCUGAUUGGACUAUACAAAAAGAGGAAAACUGGACGGGUCGGUGAAAGGAUGGAGCAGCUUUUGUUGGCAUAUGGAAAACAGGACAAAAACGACAUCUAUGCAACUAGAACAGCAGCUCUGGCCGGCCUACCAAUGUACCUCAAGGAGGAUUCUUCAGAGAUUUUCAAAACAUGCAAGGAUGAAAUUGAGUUCUAUGAAGCCACAAUUGCUCUGGUUGCUGAUGUCGAUGAAGAGGAGGUGCCUGGAGGAGUUCCUUUCUCACCACGCCAAGUGUUCAUAGUACUUGAAGAUCAGGUUGUUAUGACUCAUCACUCAUGGACUGAUGCACUGGUGUGUUUGUUUGGGCUAAUCUAUGCUCUGCAUCUGAACUAUCCUGAGAAGUGUACUGGCUUUUUUGAGUUCAUUCAAGUAGUGUUGCUGAAGCUAGACGAUGAGAGAAAGCAACUAAAACCAAAAUUGCAGACACUAAAAAAUGAGCUUGUGUAGAUGAUGUUUGUUUUUCACUGGUCAGUAUAUUCGUGCUUUUUCAGUUAUCUGUGAAUGGCUUCAAUAGUUUUAUUUGUUCAGGGUAAAUUGCUUUCUAAAAAGCAAUAUGGAGAAAGCUAAGAAUAAGGAGACAAUCCAUAUUUGACGUUUUGUUUGUGAUUGAAAAAAAUCUUCACAUAGUGUGUAAUCUUAAGCUUAUUUCUAAAAAUAUAUUUUAGUUACAUGGAAAUCUUUUGGAAGAUAACUGAUAAUUAGUCAAUAUGUACAGUAUACUUUCAAGCUUUAUUUUUUAAUUGUGUGAUGAGUGCCAGUUCACUUGAUUCGAGGUCUGGGCAAAACUGUUAAGAAACCACAAAUACCUUUGAGAAUAUUUUUUGUUAGUGACAUCCUUAGUUCAGCUGUUUUCUAUAGUUGCAUUGCUGUAGUGCAUGUGAUUUCAUUAUUAUACUAAAUGUUACUUAAAAUUGUGAUUGUUAUGGCUCUAAUUGCCUCUAGACUAUUGUUUUUUAUGAUGUACACCUAUGUAUCAGAUCUACAUUACUAAAUUUGUGUUUUGUAUAUUUAAUCGAUUUUCAAAAUGCUACAAAAAACAUUUAAAAUUCCCUAAAAGCGCAAGUUUUAAAAUUCCUAAUUAUUUGUUA